rnacentral:tRNA from 1 species
GUCCCCGUAGCUCAGCAGGAUAGAGCAGCUGCCUCCUAAGCAGCAGGCCGUGCGUUCGAAUCGCGCCGGGGACGCCA